rnacentral:rRNA from 1 species
UUGAACACCACCGCCUCUACACCAUGGGAGUGGGUUGCACCAGAAGUAGCUAGUCUAACUUCGGGAGGACGGUUACCACGGUGUGAUUCAUGACUGGGGUGAAGUCGUAACAAGGUAGCCGUAGGGAACCUGCGGCUGGAUCACCUCCUUAAUCG